ensembl:lncRNA
GCCAUCUGGGAGAAAUUAGAAAUUGACAGAGAGGAAAACUCUUUAGGAGAAAGUCGGCUGCCUCUAGUGGGGAAAGAAAAAAAAAUAUCAUCACAGGCAAAAAUUCCUGCAUCUUUUGAAGUCAUUGAAAUGAAAAGGCUUUUUGCUUGAGUUAUUCAGCUAACUGCCUUAAUUUUCCACCUGGUAUGUCAGUUGAGGUCUUUCAUCCAAAGAUGGAGAAGCUCUAUACAGACAGCAAAAACAAGACUGGAAACUGACUAUGGCUCAGAUCAUGAACUCCUUAUUGCCAAAUUCAGACUUUAAUUGAAGAAAGUGGAGAAAACCCCUAGACCAUUCAGCUGUGAUCAGCACACCCAUUCUUCAGAGGAGGAUGAGAUCGAAGGAGUAAACACAUUGCCUGGGGCCACACACAGCUUUCAAGGCCCAGAGCCAAGUUGCUGCUAUUAAGAGCUAAGCAGGAAGUCUUGGAGGGAACCUAAAGAAGGCAGGCAUUGGAUGUUAUGAGGAGUGACCUUUGUCUUCACUAAUAUUGUAUUUGGAAGGGGACCAGGCAGAUGUGUUGGGUUCCAGCUACUUGGAGGAGUAUGAAUAGUUUUGUUCCCUACUUUUUUGGCUCAUUACUUUGUUAUCCUUUUCUAGCAAACAAUCAUUUCCCAUCUGUGCUCUGCUGUGGUCCUCAGGCUUGCCUGUACAUUAC